rnacentral:snoRNA from 1 species
GAAGGAGUAUUGAUCACAGUGUCCUCUGCCAGAGCAAAUUCUAGCCCAAAUCAUUGGCUGACCUGUGUCUAUAAGCUGCUGGCAUUGAAGUGGUUUGCUCACGU